GUUGGCAUUUGGGCAUGUCACA
rnacentral:siRNA from 1 species